AUUGAACGCUGGCGGCAGGCCUAACACAUGCAAGUCGAGCGAGCGGCGGACGGGUGAGUAAUGUAUGGGGACUGCCCGAAAGAGGGGGAUAACUACUGGAAACGGUAGCUAAUACCGCAUACUAUCGGAUAACCCAUAUUGUAUUAGCUAGUAGGUGAGGUAAUGGCUCACCUAGGCGACGAUCCCUAGCUGGUCUGAGAGGAUGAUCAGCCACACUGGGACUGAGACACGGCCCAGACUCCUACGGAGGCAGCAGUGGGGAAUAUUGGACAAUGGGCGCAAGCCUGAUGCAGCAAUGCCGCGUGUAUGAAGAAGGCCCUAGGGUUGUAAAGUACUUUUGGCAGAGAAGCGGUAUCUGCAGAAUAAGCACCGGCUAACUACGUGCCAGCAGCCGCGGUAAUAC
rnacentral:rRNA from 1 species